rnacentral:rRNA from 1 species
UCCGGUUGAUCCUGCCGGAGGCUACUGCUAUCGGGGUCCGACUAAGCCAUGCGAGUUGAGAGGGGUAAGCCCUCGGCAUAUUGCUCAGUAACACGCGGAUAACCUGCCCUUGGGUUCGGGAUAACCCCGGGAAACUGGGACUAAUACCGGAUAGAUCAAAGAUACUGGAAUGUUCUCUGGUCUAAAACUCUGGUGCCCAAGGAUGGGUCUGCGGCCUAUCAGGUAGUAGUGGGUGUAACGUACCUACUAGCCUACGACGGGUAAGGGUUGUGAGAGCAAGAGCCCUGAGAUGGAUUCUGAGACAUGAAUCCAGGCCCUACGGGGUGCAGCAGGCGCGAAAACUUUACAAUGCGGGAAACCGCGAUAAGGGGACCCCGGGUGCCAGCACCUAGUGCUGGCUGUCCAGCUGUUCAAAUAACAGUUGUUAGCAAGGGCCGGGCAAGACCGGUGCCAGCCGCCGCGGUAACACCGGCGGCCUGAGUGGUAGCCGUUAUUAUUGGGUUUAAAGGGUCCGUAGCCGGCCUAUUAAGUCUCUUGGGAAAUCUGGCGACUCAAUCGUCAGGCGUCCAAGAGAUACUGGUAGGCUUGGGACCGGGAGAGGUGGGAGGUACUCCAGGGGUAGGGGUGAAAUCUCGUAAUCCCUGGGGGACCACCGAUGGCGAAGGCAUCCCACCAGAACGGGUCCGACGGUGAGGGACGAAAGCUGGGGGCACGAACCGGAUUAGAUACCCGGGUAGUCCCAGCCGUAAACGAUGCUCGCUAGGUGUCAGGUGCGGUGCGACCGCAUCUGGUGCCGCAGUGAAAACUUGAAGCGAGUCACCUGAGAAGUACGGUCGCAAGGCUGAAACUUAAAGGAAU